UUAUAUUUUUGACAUUCACUAUAUUUUCCGUUCCUUGAAACCACCGACCAUGCACCGCACCGCCCCUAUCAUCCAAUUUCGUUCCUCCACCGCCUCAUGUAUUACUCUUUUAUUCCAUUUUGUGGCAAAUGGAGUCGGUUCCUUCAUAGAACUCCCAACAGCAGAUGUAGCGACGAUUACUUCGUCAAUUUUGCUUUGGUCUUUCUCUAUUCGAUCACGUCUUCAAUUUCCAACAAACCACCGGUCAAAGGCCAGAAGAUCCGUCUAAUACACGAAGGGGUUUCUACUGAUUUAAGCCCUAGAUCGAUUGAAGUGUUUUAGUAAGAAAAAUACAAUUUCUUUUAUCUCUGUUCCGAUCAACACUCGCCUACGACGUCACCGUUGACUACGUGCUCGAACGCUGUCUUCACCGAUACAUCGGUGACAUGCACACCUUUUAUCGACGACGCGUAUAACAAAAACAAUUUGUUUUGGUGUUUGAUUUGGGCUUCCACGUUCUCUGGUCCAACAUCUGUUAUAAGGUUCUUACAAGUUCUAUUCAAAAUUUUCUCUUCAUCGAGUUCUGCUGCUAUCGUUGUUGCCCAAGAAAGCCCUAACAUCAAUUUCUUAGAGAUGAAAGAAGCAAAGGAAGAUGAUCCAGCACCAAAAAACACGUGGGCUAAGUGGAGACUUGGAGCUGUUAUCAGAGUUGUUGUUUUAACAGCUUUCUCAAUUGAUUUGUUAAAGUUACUUCUUGAAUGUUGGAGCUAAUUGAUGCAUGCAUUGGAAGAGUCAAACAGUCACCCUUUUCAGGUGAAAUGAGACUCUUCAAAGUCUACCUAAAUGGGAAGAGAAGUAGAUGUUCAAACAGUAUGUUUCAAAUGUAUCAGAAUCUCUGACCUAAAUACCCUACAGAUUCAUGGUCACCCAUAACACUACCACUUUUCCUCAUAAAAAGAUAGGAGAAUACGAAAGGUGAUGAGGCAAAAUCAUAAAGCUAAAAAAGAAGCAGAUUCUAAAGCUUGAAAUACUACCUGCAAGCCGUCAAAAAGAAGCAUAAAUUUUUAUUUCCUUUAUAAUUUUUUUAAGCGUAUAAUGUCUUAUAUGAAUUUUUUACUACCUAAUUGUUUUGUUGCUUUUCUUUUGCUGUAAUAGGCCAUAAAGACGAUCAUUUUGUGAAGAAACAAUGGGUAAAAGUUGUCAUCUUGGUGCUGUCAUACUCGACCUUCUAUUUGAGUUUAGUCUCCUGCUUCAAUGUAUUUCUGAGCAGAGGACAAUGAUAACAUAUGGUGAUGCAGAUGAUUUUUUAGGUUUUGGUCGAGACAUUGGUAUGUGUUCAAACAAGAAGAUGAGUGUCAGGGUGUAAUUUUAUUUAGGAUGGUGGGGUAGGUUUUUUUUUUUAAUCUUCGACUAUUAAUUUAAAGGUGAAUCGAAUUAUUUAUUUUAUAUAUUGUUAACUAAUACGUACCCGGCAAAGCGGGGUUCCCCAUCUAACCGUGGUCUUAACCGAACCCCGCGGAGCGGGGUUUCCCCACUAGUUUUCUUUAAAAAUCUUAUUUACUUAAUUUAUCAUGAUUCCAUGUUACAAAUCAAUAACCAAUUUUAUAAACACCCUAGUUUAGUUAAAAACAACUUGUGCAUACUUAAGCUUCAAGGUAUGAAAGUUAGUACGGAUGUUUUGAAAUUUUUAUAAUGGGUUACAAUCUUAGGUCACACAAAUUCUUUAUAAAUAAAUUUGUUUAAUUCAUUUGAUUGACGGAUGUAGUAUAGAAUAAGUGAGGUGCAUGGACCUAGGGGUGUUGUUCGGUUAUAUUUUUCGGGUUUCGAGUAUUGUUUGGUUAUAUUUUUUGUGUUAAUCAGGUAUUAUUUGUCUGGGAAUAUAAUCGAUACCGGAACCGAAUUACAAUUCGGGUUUUUGGUUUUGGAUUUUGGGUUUUCGGGUAUUCGAUUCGGAUUUUUUGGGGUACAUACUUGAAUUUCUAUUUAAAAAUUUAUAAAUUGCAUUUAUUAGCUUAAUUUUUUGUAAAAUUACUUUUAAAUGCCCACUUUAAACUAGGGAUGAGAUUUAAAACUAGUAAACCAAAAUCGGUAGCCCCGGAAUAUGUAGAACUGUAACGUCCCAAAAAUACCAAUAAAAAUUUUAUUUUUAAACCAUCAAAUCCAUACAACCAUUUGUUCUAAAACCAAUCAGAGUAAAUGUAACACCCGUUUUCAGGUACUUUUCGUUCCAGACCUUUAUGUUUUAAAUUGUUGCAAAUGAGGUCCUUACGUUGGAAGUACAAGGCUUUACGUUGGGCGUAAGCCAGCAGACUUAUGGUAGGUCAAAAGUAGAGUAAGUUGGGCAUAUAUGUGAGUACGUUGGGUGUACUCGUGCAUUCUCUAAACCCUAAUCUUUUGGUUGUGACCUUUAUUUAAGCAUCAUAAUCCAGCUUGGACCUUCUCAUACCUAGCCUCCAUCCCUAUAAACCCUAAAGUCGAAACCAUAGCCUUUGUUGUUGGAUUAGUGUCUAAGUCCAUAACUAUUUUGGUAUGUACUUGACCCGAUGGUGCAUGGUCCUUUUGGGUUGCCUUCACCAAAGCAACUUGAUAUGAUGAAUUAUGGAGAGAAAUGAUUAAAUAUGAUUUAUUAAUAUGUUAUGAGAAUAAUAUAUUAAAGGAGAAAUCAUAUUUUUUAAUUAAUAUUAGUCAAUAAUUAAUAAGAAUUAAGUUUGUGGCUAAAAGAGAAUAAUUAAACUUAAGGGACUUGAACUGUUAAUUGUAUAAUAGUUGAAUAUUGAGCUAAUGGACUCCAUAUUAAAGGGGUGGACGAAUUCUGUGGGGAAACCCAUUAGAAAUCGUCCUAAGGCCUUUAAGGAAGGAGUUCAUGGGUUGCUUAGGGCUUAAGCAUCUAAAUUAGGGUUUCCUUGUUAGAUAACCCUAAUAGCCUCACUAUUUAAAGAGCCCUUAUGCCUCAAAAACGUGAAGAACUUAUUCCUUAGGGUUUCCACACGUUUUGGGCAGCCUCCUUCUCUUCUCUUCUUCAUCCUCUUGCUCUUGGUGGUUGUGAACCAUUAGAGGAGUGACAUUUGUGACUCUAAGAUUCUAAAGUCAUUACAAGGAGGAUUUGAGAUUGUUAUUGCUACAUAACAAUCAAGGUAUGAUCUAAACCCUAAUUCAUAUGUUAUAUUGAUUAUCAUAUACUAGAUCUAGGGUUUAUAGUCUUGGAUGAAUUGCAUGUACAAUAGAGAAACCUAUAUCCAAGCAUUAGGGUUUGUAUGAGCACAUAGGAUGUUCUUAUGGCUAAAACCCACCAGUGGUAUCAGAGCCAUGAUUGGUUUCUAUUGUGUUGAUGCCUUGUAUGUUUGUUUAAGUUGCAAAAUUGAGUUUUGAGCUCCCUACCUGAUGAACUCGGCGAGUACCACAGUGUACUCGGCGAGUACAGUGUGGUACUCGGCGAGUUCGAGCGUCAGAUGGAGCUAUUUUCGGGAUUUCUUGUUGUUUUACUCGUGGAUAAUUGCCUUAUCUGUUUUAGAUCAUUAAAAUCCGAUUUUAUACAUAUUUAUGAGUAUAUCCUUGAUUAAACAAAAGAUAAUUACCAAUUAAUUAGAUAAUAACUUAUAAUAACUUCCUUAUAUGAUAAAGUUUGAUUAUUUGUAUUAAUUGGGUAACUUACUUUGCAAGAAAUUGAAAUUAUGUCAAAUAUAGAUAAUGAUAAAAUAAAUUGUUUAAUUAAUAUUAUUUGAUCCUUGUGUUAUGAAAAGUUUCAAUUUUUCCCCUUUAGGUUUUAUAGUUUAAAUUUGAACUCAAAAGUUUUGUUUUGAAAUUUAAAUAGUUGAAACCCUAAUGUUUUGAAAAAGGUUUCAAAACUUGCCCUCAAGUUUUGGAAUUUAAAUUUUGAUUAAAAAGUUUGAUUUUGAAAUAUUUAAAUUCUAAACUCUAAUGUUUUGAAAUGUUUCAAAACUUUCCCUCAAGUUUUGGAAUUUAAAAGUUGAUUAAAAGUUUAAUUUAGGAAUGUUAAAUUCUAAAACCCUAGUAUUGUUUUGAAAAUUGUUCAGAUCACACCCUUAUGGUUUUAUUAAUUAAUUAAGGUGUAUAAUUAAAAGAGGUUUAAUAAAUCCAUAAAGUUUUGGUUUACAAUUUAAAUUGAAUUAAAAGUAUAAUUGUUAAAUUUGACCACCUAGUAUUUUAAAAAGUGUAAAAUACACCCUAUACUAUAUAUAACAUUAAAAGUCUAACAUUAUAUAUAUAUAUAUAUAUAUAUAUGAGUAAAAGUCAGUCUUACCGUUAGUAGGCCUCAUUCACGAAGCUGGUCUGUAAGGGUGUUUAAGGAAAUUGCCUAUAAAAUGGCGAUUGAAUGGGUAUCCACUCUUACCCAUCGCACUCUUGACUAGUGGAGGGUCGUUAGCCGAACGGGUAGGAUAGGACGAAACCUUCCAUUAUAAGUAUAAUGAAGUACAAAAGUAACUAAAUGUUUUACAAAAUUCUCAAUCUUAGUUACUUUAGGCAAAAGUGAAUUGAUGCAAUUCCAUGAAAUUAUACUUUGUGCCCUUGCGAAGACGUUAGUGGAGCGUGUGUGGUUAACCGACACACUAAAUGGUUCUAAGCAAAGGUAGCAAAGGGUGACUCAAUGUUUGUCAUAGUUCGGUGGAGCGUGUGUGGUUUACCGGCACAUCGAAUAGGUGACUGUAACAUGUGAGGGCACCAUGUAGAUUUGCAUGGUCAUUCACACCCGCUUUGUGAUCCUCGGCAUCCCAGUCACAAACUAGAGGGGCAUAUCAAGAUUUAACAUGUCAUUGAAAUGUUCAAUGAAUCUCAAAGGAUCUAGGAGUUUUCAUAGAUUUAAAACUUAAAUUUCUUUUUUGUUUUUUUAAUGGUGGAAAUUAGUGAAUCGUCAUUCACUUACCUUCAAAUAUUCUGCAACUAGAUUACGGCAUCCCUUUUCUAGGUUGUAGCGUAUUGUGUUGGGUCCUAGCCUUAAUAUCUCAUUUGGGCUAUUUAUUAAGGACUCAAUCGAUCAACUAACUUGAAUUUGUUUUCUCCCGUUUUGUAGAUGUCAAAGUACGACAACUAUGGUCUUCCCAAAUCCCGUGGAACAAGAAUUCCACAUGAAGAUGAUAUUCCAUGAUUCGAUCGAGGAACAAGAAAUCAUGUUUCACUUCCUCCACUUCCUCCCGUUAUUCUCCCUAACCCACAAGAUCGAAGAAUUGAAAGGUUCAAUGUCACUAAAGCCCUAUUGGAAAUGAAACAUGAAGAUGGUAAACCCGUGUGUGCCCACGUUCUAGGAAUGAAAUCACACAUCAAUAGGUUGAUAAUGUUGGGUGCGUCAUUCCCGGAUAAGUUGGCUGUGAACCGGGUUCUGCAGUCACUUCCCGAAUCAUAUAAUGAGUUUAAAAGAAAGUAUUAUAUGAUGGAUCAUGACGAAAACCUUAUUGACCUAACUUACAUGCUCAUUGCUGCUGAAUCAGAGAUGAUUUGGCAAAGCAAUGGAGCAUAUUUGUUAGGAAAAUCAACCAACCAUGCUUCCGAGGACGUUCUAGGAGAACCGACCUGCGUUUGCUGCCAAGAGAAAGGGCGUUGGAUACAAGUCUGCCCUAAGAGCCUGAAGAGUCCAGAAGAUGGGAGAGUCAAAGAGUAUGGUUGUGCUUCAGGAUCAGUGAAAAGAGAGGAAGCUUGAUGAAAGAGAAAGAUGAAUCUAAUCAUGAAGAAAUGGAUCUCGAUCACAUGGACUCAAAGAUUAGAUUUGAUCUUAGAAAGUUAUGAUAGAGUUGUUAGGAAUAUUUGAUUCCAUAGUUUUUCAGUUGAUUUUGCAUUGUAAGGACAAAUGUUUUCCGCUGCUUUUAUGAACAAAAUAAAGUUUGUUUGACGUAUUUAUUUAUUUAU